AAGUAAAAGUCGUAACAAGGUUUCCGUAGGUGAACCUGCGGAAGGAUCAUUAUCGAGUUUUUGAACGGGUUGUAGCUGGUCUCUCUCGGGACAUGUGCACGCCUGGCUCAAUCCACUCUUCAAACCAUUGUGCACUUAUUGUAGGUCGGUUGGAAAGGCUUUGGUUCAGUAAAAUGAAUCAAGGCUCGGAAGACCUUCCUAUGUUUUUACUACAAACGCUUCAGUCAUAGAAUGUCAUUUACUUGCGUAUAACGCAUCUAUAUACAACUUUCAGCAACGGAUCUCUUGGCUCUCGCAUCGAUGAAGAACGCAGCGAAAUGCGAUAAGUAAUGUGAAUUGCAGAAUUCAGUGAAUCAUCGAAUCUUUGAACGCACCUUGCGCUCCCUGGUAUUCCGGGGAGCAUGCCUGUUUGAGUAUCAUGGAAUUCUCAACCUUCAAUACUUUUUUGUAUUCGAAGGCUUGGACUUGGAGGCUUGUGCUGGCUGCUCGUUCAGUCGGCUCCUCUGAAAUGAAUUAGCGUGAAUCACUAUGGAUCGCUUCAGUGUGAUAAUUAUCUGCGCUGUAGUCGUGAAGUAUUAAUAAGUUCGCGCUUCUAAUCGUCCUUUCACUAGGACAAUUAACUAUGAACUUUUGAUCUCAAAUCAGGUAGGACUACCCGCUGAACUUAAGCAUAU
rnacentral:rRNA from 1 species